AAUUGAUGCUUUGGAGUCAGCACAAUCACAAGAAGAUGGUAAUGUAUGCAAUGACCCUUACAGUGAAGUGAUUCCACCUCCUAAACGCAAAAGUCGUUUGCAUCUAUAUGGCUCGGGUGUGAAAAAGAGUGAUUUGAAGAACAAAGAUACAAAGUCAAAUUACAUACUCCCGGAGGAAUUCCUGGUAGACAUAAAAACACAAUUAGUCCAAGAAAUUGCACCUACCAUCACCGCUGCAGUUUUGGAUUCGAUUCGCGAGGUGAACCCCGGGAUUAAUCUUGUGGUUCCUAGUACUCUGCAGCAAUUGACUCCGCAUGAUGCAUCUAGUGCACCAAAUCGAAAUACUGCCCAAAGUGGACAAUCUUCAAAAUCAUUUAAUCAGGUGGUUGAUGACGAUGAGCUACCCCGGGAUGAAUGAAGUAAGGACUAAUGUUGAUUUUAUGUAUCUAUUGCAACUUCUAGAGAGCUUUCAAAUUAAACGUUUGUUAAUUAAUUAGCUAGUGAACUUUCAUUUAUAAUUAGUUAGUAUUGACACUUCCUUUACUUUUGUAAUGCAACGAAUAUAUAUUAUAUGUACUUCGUUUAUUUUGUAAUGCAACGAAGAUAUAUUAUAUGUA